rnacentral:rRNA from 1 species
UAAGUUUAGCAGAACAUUCUGGAAAGUAUAGCCAUAGAGGGUGAUAGUCCCGUAUGCGAAAAACAAACCUUAGCUAGCAGUAUCCUGAGUAGGGCGGGACACGAGGAAUCCUGUCUGAAUCCGGGUCGACCACGAUCCAACCCUAAAUACUAAUACCAGAUCGAUAGUGCACAAGUACCGUGAGGGAAAGGUGAAAAGAACUGAGGUGAUCAGAGUGAAAUAGAACCUGAAACCAUUUGCUUACAAUCAUUCAGAGCCCUAUGUAGCAAUACAGGGUGAUGGACUGCCUUUUGCAUAAUGAGCCUGCGAGUUGUGGUGUCUGGCAAGGUUAAGCAAACGCGAAGCCGUAGCGAAAGCGAGUCUGAAUAGGGCGCUUAGUCAGAUGCUGCAGACCCGAAACGAAGUGAUCUAUCCAUGAGCAAGUUGAAGCUAGUGUAAGAACUAGUGGAGGACUGAACCCAUAGGCGUUGAAAAGCCCCGGGAUGACUUGUGGAUAGGGGUGAAAGGCCAAUCAAACUUCGUGAUAGCUGGUUCUCUCCGAAAUAUAUUUAGGUAUAGCGUUGUGUCGUAAUAUAAGGGGGUAGAGCACUGAAUGGGCUAGGGCAUACACCAAUGUACCAAACCCUAUCAAACUCCGAAUACCUUAUAUGUAAUCACAGCAGUCAGGCGGCGAGUGAUAAAAUCCGUCGUCAAGAGGGAAACAACCCAGACUACCAGCUAAGGUCCCUAAGUCUUACUUAAGUGGAAAACGAUGUGAAGUUACUUAAACAACCAGGAGGUUGGCUUAGAAGCAGCCAUCCUUUAAAGAAAGCGUAAUAGCUCACUGGUCUAGUGAUUUUGCGCGGAAAAUAUAACGGGGCUAAAGUAAGUACCGAAGCUGUAGACUUAGUUUAC